CAAUAGCGUAUACUAAAGUUGUUGCAGUUAAAAAGCUCGUAGUUGAAUUUCUGGUCGUGGCAAUCGGUCAGCCCCUCACGGGGUUCGUACCAGGUUGCUGCGUCCAUCCUCGGGGAGAGCAUAUCGGGCAUUCAGUUGUCUGGUGUGGGAUCCUCGUCAUUUACUGUGAGCAAAAUAGAGUGUUCAAAGCAGGCUUAGGCCGUUGAAUACAUUAGCAUGGAAUAAUAAGAUAGGACCUUGGUCUAUUUUGUUGGUUUGCGUUCCAAGGUAAUGAUUAAUAGGGAUAGUUGGGGGUAUUCGUAUUCAAUUGUCAGAGGUGAAAUUCUUGGAUUUAUGGAAGACGAACUACUGCGAAAGCAUUUACCAAGGAUGUUUNCAUUA
rnacentral:rRNA from 1 species